rnacentral:rRNA from 1 species
AUGAACGCUAGCUACAGGCUUAACACAUGCAAGUCGAGGGGCAGCAUGGUCUUAGCUUGCUAAGGCCGAUGGCGACCGGCGCACGGGUGAGUAACACGUAUCCAACCUGCCGUCUACUCUUGGACAGCCUUCUGAAAGGAAGAUUAAUACAAGAUGGCAUCAUGAGUCCGCAUGUUCACAUGAUUAAAGGUAUUCCGGUAGACGAUGGGGAUGCGUUCCAUUAGAUAGUAGGCGGGGUAACGGCCCACCUAGUCUUCGAUGGAUAGGGGUUCUGAGAGGAAGGUCCCCCACAUUGGAACUGAGACACGGUCCAAACUCCUACGGGAGGCAGCAGUGAGGAAUAUUGGUCAAUGGGCGAGAGCCUGAACCAGCCAAGUAGCGUGAAGGAUGACUGCCCUAUGGGUUGUAAACUUCUUUUAUAAAGGAAUAAAGUCGGGUAUGGAUACCCGUUUGCAUGUACUUUAUGAAUAAGGAUCGGCUAACUCCGUGCCAGCAGCCGCGGUAAUACGGAGGAUCCGAGCGUUAUCCGGAUUUAUUGGGUUUAAAGGGAGCGUAGAUGGAUGUUUAAGUCAGUUGUGAAAGUUUGCGGCUCAACCGUAAAAUUGCAGUUGAUACUGGAUAUCUUGAGUGCAGUUGAGGCAGGCGGAAUUCGUGGUGUAGCGGUGAAAUGCUUAGAUAUCACGAAGAACUCCGAUUGCGAAGGCAGCCUGCUAAGCUGCAACUGACAUUGAGGCUCGAAAGUGUGGGUAUCAAACAGGAUUAGAUACCCUGGUAGUCCACACGGUAAACGAUGAAUACUCGCUGUUUGCGAUAUACAGCAAGCGGCCAAGCGAAAGCGUUAAGUAUUUCACCUGGGGAGUACGCCGGCAACGGUGAAACUCAAAGGAAUUGACGGGGGCCCGCACAAGCGGAGGAACAUGUGGUUUAAUUCGAUGAUACGCGAGGAACCUUACCCGGGCUUAAAUUGCAGAUGAAUUACGGUGAAAGCCGUAAGCCGCAAGGCAUCUGUGAAGGUGCUGCAUGGUUGUCGUCAGCUCGUGCCGUGAGGUGUCGGCUUAAGUGCCAUAACGAGCGCAACCCUUGUUGUCAGUUACUAACAGGUUCCGCUGAGGACUCUGACAAGACUGCCAUCGUAAGAUGUGAGGAAGGUGGGGAUGACGUCAAAUCAGCACGGCCCUUACGUCCGGGGCUACACACGUGUUACAAUGGGGGGUACAGAGGGCCGCUACCACGCGAGUGGAUGCCAAUCCCCAAAACCUCUCUCAGUUCGGACUGGAGUCUGCAACCCGACUCCACGAAGCUGGAUUCGCUAGUAAUCGCGCAUCAGCCACGGCGCGGUGAAUACGUUCCCGGGCCUUGUACACACCGCCCGUCAAGCCAUGGGAGCCGGGGGUACCUGAAGUGCGUAACCGCGAGGAGCGCCCUAGGGUAAAACUGGUGACUGGGGCU